rnacentral:rRNA from 1 species
UACGUAGGGGGCGAGCGUUAUCCGGAUUUACUGGGUGUAAAGGGUGCGUAGGCGGCGUUUUAAGUCAGAAGUGAAAUUUCAGGGCUCAACCUUGAAGCUGCUUCUGAAACUGAGAUGCUAGAGUGCAGGAGAGGAAAGUGGAAUUCCACGUGUAGCGGUGAAAUGCGUAGAGAUGUGGAAGAACACCAGUAGCGAAGGCGGCUUUCUGGACUGUAACUGACGCUGAGGCACGAAAGCAUGGGGAGCAAACAGGAUUAGAUACC